GACGAACGCUGGCGGCGUGCUUAACACAUGCAAGUCGAACGGUAAGGCCCUUCGGGGUACACGAGUGGCGAACGGGUGAGUAACACGUGGGUGAUCUGCCCUGCACUUCGGGAUAAGCCUGGGAAACUGGGUCUAAUACCGGAUAGGACCCUGGGAUGCAUGUCCUGGGGUGGAAAGCUUUUGCGGUGUGGGAUGGGCCCGCGGCCUAUCAGCUUGUUGGGGGGGUGAUGGCCUACCAAGGCGACGACGGGUAGCCGGCCUGAGAGGGUGACCGGCCACACUGGGACUGAGAUACGGCCCAGACUCCUACGGGAGGCAGCAGUGGGGAAUAUUGCACAAUGGGCGCAAGCCUGAUGCAGCGACGCCGCGUGAGGGAUGACGGCCUUCGGGUUGUAAACCUCUUUCAGCACCGACGAGGCGCAAGUGACGGUAGGUGCAGAAGAAGGACCGGCCAACUACGUGCCAGCAGCCGCCGUAA
rnacentral:rRNA from 1 species